CAAUAUGCACAUCUUAGCUAUAAAGUUGAUAAGAGUACAUAUGAAGAAGUAAGGUCAGAAAAAGCUAUUAACUAGAUUUUGUCCUGGUAACUAACUAGAUCCUUUAGAAGUACUGCAACAGCACUAAAUCGAGGGUAUAAGAAAUAAACCAAAAAAGUAUCAUGAAUUGUGAACAUAUGUUAGAACCUAAAACACAAGUUACCUGCAGAUAAGGUUUAUUGUCAUCAUUACUGCAACAGUACUAAAUCGAGGGUAUAAGUAAACCAAAAAAGUAUCAUGGAUUGUGAACAUAUGUUAAAACCUAAAACACAAGUUACCUGUAUAUAAGGUUUAUUGUCAUCAUGUGCUAUCCAAAAUAAAAUUAUGAGUUUCAGAAAAUAACUAUGAGUUUCCUAAGAUAAGGUUUUUUGUCAUCAUGUGCUAUCCAAGAGGAACUCAUUUGCACCAACUGCAUACCCAGACAUGUUUACAAUUCGGAUAGCAUUAUAAUGAUAGGUCUCCUACAAAAAACAACCUUUCACCAGCUUCUAGAAUUAUAAGGUGAAAACAUAUUGUGCACCCUUCUGCAGUUGCUAGAAUCAUAAGAGAGAGAAAAUAAAAUUAUAAGUUUCAGAAAA
rnacentral:lncRNA from 1 species